rnacentral:misc_RNA from 1 species
AAGUCGUAACAAGGUCUCCGUUGGUGAACCAGCGGAGGGAUCAUUACCGAGUUUACAACUCCCAAACCCCUGUGAACAUACCAAUCGUUGCUUCGGCGGGUCUCGCCCCGGCGCCCUCGGGCCCGGACUCAGGCGCCCGCCGGAGGACCUAAACUCUUGUUUUUAUGAGUAUCUUCUGAGUGACACAAGUAAAUGAAUCAAAACUUUCAACAACGGAUCUCUUGGUUCUG